CAUUGUCAUCAAGAGUUGGGAUGACACCCACACCAACCUGCUUACCGAGCAAGGUGGUCAAACGAUGUGGCCUUAGGGCAACCAAUCGCGUGUCA
rnacentral:ncRNA from 10 species